GUAAACAAGUUGCUCCAUGUUCAU
rnacentral:siRNA from 1 species